rnacentral:rRNA from 1 species
CGAACGGGUGAGUAACGCGUGAGGAACCUGCCUCAAAGAGGGGGACAACAGUUGGAAACGACUGCUAGUACCGCAUAAGCCCACGGCUCGGCAUCGAGCAGAGGGAAAAGGAGCAAUCCGCUUUGAGAUGGCCUCGCGUCCGAUUAGCUAGUUGGUGAGGUAACGGCCCACCAAGGCGACGAUCGGUAGCCGGACUGGGAGGUUGAACGGCCACAUUGGGACUGAGACACGGCCCAG